rnacentral:piRNA from 1 species
UAGAAAACCUCUGUGAAGAUGUGGACC